rnacentral:lncRNA from 1 species
CCUUUAAAGCAGUUAUGUCUGGUUAUGUAACGGUUUACUCACACAAAGCCCCAAAAGUAGAAUUCAUCCUGAAAUGUCCAUCAUAUGGGGCUAAACAAAGCAACUACUUUCAUGGUUAGUGGCAUUUUUCUUACAUGGAAAGACGCUUCAAGUAGUGCUCACUCUCCAAGAACAGAGAGCAUCCCCAAGGGGCUACAUGUGGAACGAGAACAGCUGGCAAUCACACCCCAGGUUUCAAAUUGGCUUUCCUUCAGACGACAUGAAAGUGUUUACCCGCCCCAGCUAAGACCUGUGUGCUGCAGCCUAUCUUAAGUGGCAAGUAUUUCAGCCAUGUGUAAUUCAGGAAUGUGGUCAUGUUUAAACAGCCAACCACAGGUUUAUGGCAACAGCAAAAUCCCCUUCUUCAAGGUAAAUAUAAUUUGUUACAGAACAAAAUUUGUUUGUAGGUUUGUUAUAUGCUUAACAAAGUUUAUCUAUAUUUUUCUGACAUGUGUGUGAAUUUAGAGCUGCUGAACUGUGCCAAUCUGACUGGCACAGAAAGCCAUGUCUACUGUCCAUCCACAGAAGAGGUACAGGCAUCUGUAGGGCAAGUUCUUCCCACCAGUGUGCCUCAAAAACCCAUUCUGGAGGAACAGCUUUAGGAACGAAAGGAUAAUUAAGUUGCCAUGGGCUAUUCAGUGACUGACCUCUCUGCUUAGCAGUGGCUAAUGCUAUACAUGGUGAUCUUACUUGACAUGGGCAUCCAUUCAGUGAAAAUUAGGUUAAGAACGCCCCUCCCUCCAGCUCAUUUCAGACAGGCCUCUGUAGCAAUCUAUUCAGUCACUGUCCAGCCUGGACUGUAACCACUUACCACAAGGUAAUAGGCUCUAGAUAAUAAUACCCUUCCCCCCCCACACACUCUCCAUCUUCUAUAUUCUUAGUUUUAUUAAAAUCCUGAAACUGCAAGCUACUGGUAAAGUAUCUCGAACAUAAGAAUGGCCACACUGGGUCAGACCAGUGGUACAUCUAGCCCAGUAUCCUGUCUUCCAGUAGUGGCCAAUGCCAGGUGCUUCAGAAGGAAUGAAUGGAACAGGCAAUCAAGUGAUCCAUCCCAUUGUCCACUCCCAGCUUCUGGCAGACAUCUGCAGAUACUGAAAAUAAACUUGUGGGGAAGCUGGUUUAUUCCA